rnacentral:lncRNA from 1 species
GCCGGGCACAGGGUCAGUUUUCAAAGCACACCUGUAAGUGAGUGAAGAAUGAUUCAAUGAAUGAAUGAGUAAAUGAGAGAACAAAACUGCUUGGAGAUUAUGGAAAGCAGCCCAAGAGGUUCCUGCUAUGACCUCAUGCCCAAACUUCUCCUCCCCUGGUUUCUUUAAUCUGAAAGGUGACCCAGCUAAGUUUGCCCAGUUGAUAAAGCCAGGCAACUCACCUGCACCUUUUGUCUGCAACCCGAAUCCAAACAGGAAGCUGGGGCUCAGAUAAGGUGGAGGAAGGCCAUGCCUGGAAUCAGCACCAGACGGGAACUAGUCAUUUAAUUUGAUGUCUCAAAUAUCCACCGAGCACCUUUCAGUGCCAAGCUCUGUGCAAGGGGCUAAGGAUGAAGCAGGAAACCAGACAGUCCCUGCCCUGGGAUGGCCUGUCAUCUACUGGGAAUCUAGAGGUUAAAGAUGUAAUUGCCAAUGGGAUGAGUGAUAUGGAAAGGGAGAAGCGUAAUGCCAGGCGGUUGCAGCAAACCUCCCUGGAGUUGUGGCCUUUCAGCUGGAACCUUAGAAGUGAGAAGGAGUGAGUCAGGAGUCAGCGAUGCGAAGGAUGCAAUCCCUUCUCGCCACAACCACCCUAAGGGCAAAAGGUCCUUCCAAGAUGGUGCUGGCUUCAAAUCGGACUAAGAGGAGCAUCAACAAUUCAGAGCAGAAUGGCUUUCGUCUGUGAAUAAUGGCCCACCCUCAACCUCCCACUCUCCCCCUCCACGCUCCACCAACGCUCAACCUGAAAACACAGGAAGGUAAUGACCAGGAAUUCUCUUCAGGAUUCCACGCAACAGCGCCUCGGAGCAAGGCAUCCUCAGACCACAAGGUCUUCCAUCUCCAAGUGGCGAGAGGCCAUAGACCACCCCGAUUCCUCCCUGGUAUUGAAUUCCUUGAUGUUUGUAGAGUCUCACCUAUCCUUAAAAAAAGUUAAGAUUUGAAAAAAAUAAAUACUCAAGUCUCUAUGUACAUAGACUGUCCUUUUCAGCAG